AUAAAAAUAUGCCACCGGUCCGCCACGUUUAAAAGCGCUGGGCAUAAAAAUAUGCCACCAGUCCGCAAAGUGUUAACAAAUAUGUACAUGUCAUGGCUGUUAAAGUGACAUACGAGUGUUAGGGUUUGAGUUUUUGGAUGCAAUUCAAAUCCUCAUUCCCAGUCUUUUUUAAUUUCUGAAGUUGUGUGUUAUUCCAUGUUUAAAGCUUUAGAUAUUAUAUACUGUGAUAAUGACAAAGACAACGUCUACAUCCCAUGUGAAGAACACUCUUAUGCCAAAUUACACACAUGCUUUCAUGACUAAACAGACAAGUGUUCUUUUUAAUUAAAUUACUCCAAGACACCAGUGACAGGGUUAAUAAUAAAUUUUUCUACUUAAUCUGUUAUUAUAGACAACCCAUUCUGAGUGGUGUUACCGCAAACCACCAUACCAGAGAAACUAUGAAUGAUUAAAGGGUGAUUUCACAGUGAAACCACAAUUCUAGAAAUAUCUGACAUGCUCAGAAGCCACCAUGUAAUUCAGACGGCAGGUGUUACCUAGCAAUGGUCGGUCUUUCCUGGAUCACUGCUUUGCAAUGGGUCUACACUCCACAAUACUGUAAAUCUCCUGGUACUGUGGAGGUAGUGGAUGGAUUUUAACUCAGCUUCGUGUUGAUGGCUUCCUCAAUAGAAUGCAAGAGCCGAAUAUCAUGAGGUGUGACCAGAGAUAUCGCCAUGCC